GACGAACGCUGGCGGCGUGCUUAACACAUGCAAGUCGAACGGAAAGGCCCUGCUUUUGUGGGGUGCUCGAGUGGCGAACGGGUGAGUAACACGUGAGUAACCUGCCCUUGACUUUGGGAUAACUUCAGGAAACUGGGGCUAAUACCGGAUAGGAGCUCCUGCUGCAUGGUGGGGGUUGGAAAGUUUCGGCGGUUGGGGAUGGACUCGCGGCUUAUCAGCUUGUUGGUGGGGUAGUGGCUUACCAAGGCUUUGACGGGUAGCCGGCCUGAGAGGGUGACCGGCAACAUUGGGAAUGAGAGACGGCCCAGACUCAUACGGGAGGCAGAAGGGGGGAAGAUUGCACAAUGGGCGGAAGCCGGAUGCAGCAACGCCGCGUGCGGGAUGACGGCCUUCGGGUUGUAAACCGCUUUCGCCUGUGACGAAGCGUGAGUGACGGUAAUGGGUAAAGAAGCACCGGCUAACUACGUG
rnacentral:rRNA from 1 species